rnacentral:rRNA from 1 species
UACGUAGGUGGCAAGCGUUGUUCGGAAUUAUUGGGCGUAAAGGGCGCGUAGGCGGUUUGCUAAGUCAGUUGUGAAAGCCCGGGGCUCAACCCCGGAGGGUCGGCUGAUACUGGUGGACUAGAGUACGGAAGAGGUAGCUGGAAUUCCCGGUGUAGCGGUGAAAUGCGCAGAUAUCGGGAGGAACACCAAUGGCGAAGGCAGCUCGCUGGGACGGUACUGACGCUGAGACGCGAAAGCGUGGGGAGCAAACAGG